rnacentral:rRNA from 1 species
AUUGAACGCUGGCGGCAUGCCUUACACAUGCAAGUCGAACGGCAGCACGGGGGCAACCCUGGUGGCGAGUGGCGAACGGGUGAGUAAUAUAUCGGAACGUACCCUGGAGUGGGGGAUAACGUAGCGAAAGUUACGCUAAUACCGCAUACGAUCUAUGGAUGAAAGCGGGGGAUCGCAAGACCUCGCGCUCGUGGAGCGGCCGAUAUCUGAUUAGCUAGUUGGUGGGGUAAAGGCCCAACAAGGCUUCGAUCAGUAGCUGGUCUGAGAGGACGACCCAGCACACUGGAACUGAGACACGGUACGGACACCUACGGGGGGCAGCAGUGGGGAAUUUUGGACAAUGGGGGCAACCCUGAUCCAGCAAUGCCGCGUGAGUGAAGAAGGCCUUCGGGUUGUAAAGCUCUUUUGUCAGGGAAGAAACGGUCUUGGAUAAUACCUAGGGCUAAUGACGGUACCUGAAGAAUAAGCACCGGCUAACUACGUGCCAGCCGCCGCGGUAAAAC